AUUGAACGCUGGCGGCAGGCCUAACACAUGCAAGUCGAGCGGAGCGGCGGACGGUUGAGUAAUGCCUAGGAAUCUGCCUGGUAGUGGGGGAUAACGUCCGGAAACGGGCGCUCAUACCGCAUACUAUCAGAUUAGCCUAGGUCGGAUUAGCUCGUUGGUGGGGUAAAGGCCUACCAAGGCGACGAUCCGUAACUGGUCUUAGAGGAUGAUCAGUCACACUGGAAAUGAGACACGGUUCAGACUCCUACGGGAGGAAGCAGUGGGGAAUAUGGGACAAUGGGCGAAAGCCUGAUCCAGCCAUGCCGCGUGUGUGAAGAAGGUCUUCGGAUUGUAAAGCACUUUAAGUGGGGAGGCGUUACAAACAGAAGAAGCACCGGCUAACUUCGUGCCAGCAGCCGCGGUAAUAC
rnacentral:rRNA from 1 species